rnacentral:lncRNA from 1 species
AACCUUUGUUGUGUUAAGCCAUAGGUUCUGGAGUCAGCCAUUAGCCAAGCCUGACUACUGCAUAUCUCUACCUAACUGCUGCCUCAUCUAUCAUUUGAGGAGAAUGACAUCUACCCCCGGGGAUGUUGGGAAAGCAAAGACAUACUCUGAUAAAGCAGCUGCAGUUCUUAUAAAAUCCAUUGGAAUAAAAGACACACUCAGAUCUGAACAAGACACUGGUUGUCUAUCUGGUUCAGCCACAAAACUGGAAAUUAAGUGACUGAGAAGGCCUGUUGACGUAAUUGCCCAUUAUACCUUAAGCAGCUUUCCAAAACUACCUAUGCAUUAGAAAAGAAAUACUACCCAGAAGAAUCAAGUAUAUCUAGGUUCCACACACAUUUUCAUAGUUUCUCCUAGAAGAAAUGGAUUUUUGAAAGCCUGGAGGAUGUUGUGCACAGCAAAUCAAAGAUUGGAAGGAUUGCCUAAAUAGAGUCCCUCUCUUGUGAAUUCUCGCAAUGAGGCAGAUGAAAGACAUGAUGCUGGAGUCUCGUCAAGUAAUCCUCUGUAUAAAAACAUGCAAGACUUCUGCUUUCAGACAAGAUUCAAUAACAGGAUCCAGAUUUACCCUCCCACCUGAAACACCACCUGGCCAAAACAGAGACACACACGCCCACAUACAAUUUAUGAAACAAUGGUUUUAAAGACGAUGUACAUCAAGUGACAAUAAACAGAGGUGCCUGAUAAAUGCAAAAAUAAGCAAGG